CAUAACUAUAUGUUCAGAUCCAGACAACAUCUGGGCUAAAAAAGCAAAGGCGAUAGUGGAUGGGAGAACAAGAAUCAAAACAUCUGAACCAGAGACAAGCAAAACAACCAUUAAACCAACUUCAGUGUCCAAAGACAGCCCAGAAUCCUCUCUGAGUACUGCAACAACACGCAAGACAGGUGAAACAGUAACAUUUAGAAUCACAUCAUCUGCGACCAUGGACUGCUGCUUAGCAGUAACUAAAGAUAAACCAGCGUUUCAUGAAAUUGUGGACUACAGAGUCCAAGAAACACCCCUUUGCUCUGUCAGAGCUGUGCUAUUCAUAACUGUGGCGAACAACAAAAUUUGCUCCUCUCCAGUAGAAGACUGGGUCCAGGAUUACAUACAGAACUUGAACAGAAGACAAAAAACUACAGACGAGAGAGAGUUUGCCAUCAUAAGAAUAAAAGACUCCAACACCAAUAAUUACUUUUGUUUAAAGAAGGAACAAUCCAAACACUUUUGCGUCAAACAACCUUAAAACAUCUGUUGGAAAAGCUUGGCCAACUUUUUAUGUCUGUAUACUGAUAAUACUAGGAUAGCUGAAUAACUUCUAAGUCUAAUAAAUGAAUAAGGUGAUGUUAUUGGAAAAUCAGCAGUGUGGUUUCAAUCA